UACGUAGGAGGCAAGCGUUGUCCGGAAUUACUGGGUGUAAAGCGCGUGUAGGCGGCAGGCCAAGUCUGUGGUGAAAUCGCUCGGCUCAACUGGGCGGGGUCCAUGGAAACUGGUCAGCUGGAGGACGGUAGAGGUGAGUGGAAUUCCCGGUGUAGUGGUGAAAUGCGUAGAGAUCGGGAGGAACACCCGUGGCGAAGGCGGCUCCCUGGAACGCAACUGACGCUGAGACGCGAAAGCCAGGGGAGCAAACGGG
rnacentral:rRNA from 1 species